CAUGGCAGGGGCUGGAACUUUAAGGUCCCUUCCAACCCAAACUAUUCCAUGAUUCCAUGAUUCUAAACCACCUGAGCCAAAUGCCAAAAUCUCCUUUUGCCCCGUGGCUGGUGAUGUGGAAGAGGUGUUGCAUCCCAGCUACCUGACCUUGGGAUAUGGAAGUGAUGGGGGAGGAGGUCAAGAACAAGAGGCAGACGGUGAUUUUGGUCCUCAGGUGUUUGCACAAACCCCUCUGCCAAGGCCAGGUUCUGACAGGCUGCACUGGCACCGCAGUGUUGUGACACCAGCUCUCGGCCCCGGGUGGAGUUUUAUCCUCCCAGUGCCCACUGGAGGUCGGGAACAAGUCCAUCAGUGGCCACCUGAAGUUCCCAUCUGGGAGCAGACCUUGUGUGUCAGGGGGGCUCCCAGCCCCUCCCAGCCCUGUCACAUUAAAUAUUCCCUGUAUGGGAUAUCUCCAUGCCAGGGAGAGACAGGAGCAAGCCCAGGGCAGGAUUUGGGCAGCGAGGGGCUUCUGCAAGCGCCCCAUCGUGCCUUCCUUCCCUGAUCUUCACCUUUGAGGCGUUGCAGUGCUUGAAAAAUGAACUUUGUGUCCAUGUUCUCCUCAAAGAUCCUGGGCUUUUUAAGCCCAGCUUUCUAAACCGUGCUGAAAGGUCCCGCACCGGGCAGGGGCUGCCUUUGAAAGGGAACAAAUUGUCGGUUUAUGGCUCCCAGGUGAGGGGGGGGGGCUGUAAAUCUCCCACCAUUUAACGCAUCUGGUCUUUUCCAGGCUGGCUACCAGUGUUCCAAGGAGGAGAGGGAGGAAUAACCAACAUUUCCGGCCAUCGGCUGCUCGCACGGCCCCCGGGAGCUCCUCAGGAAGGUUUUUAAAGGAAUAUUUAUGGAUGAUCCCGGUGAAUCAGGCCCUAAAAGGAAAACUGAGCACAGGAGGAGGGAUGGUUUGGUGGAAGAGCAUCCUGGGGUUUCCACUCUCAGAGCCUUUUCCUGAGACAUGAGUCACUUAAAAGCCUCCUGUAGACUCACUGAUAAGAGAAACUCCCUCGAGGUGAGCCCGGGUCUGUCCUUCAGCGUGUUUAUGUAAAGUACCUUUGGAACAGAUUUAUUCCACGGAAUGUGUGGAGGAGAUAAGGCCACACGUGCCCUCUGAGCCUGUUUCUUCCAGUGCAAUGUCUUGAGGUUUAUCUGAGUGUGCCUGAGAUCAGAGUUUGCCAGAGAAAGAGAAAAUCAGGGUGUUCUGUCAAAACUACAGGUUUGACAUAAUCCCCAAGGUUUGAACUUCUUGGGAGUUUUGGUGCCCAUCCUGCUCCCAGAAGGGACCAGCAGGCUCCUGCAGCUCCCAGCACCUCCCAGUGGAUGAUGGUGUUUUCCCAGUGUCUCCUGGCCGUGGUGGUGGGUGGAUAGGCUUAAGCUGAUGAUGGAUGGGGCCCAUGGGGUGCCUGGGGCUGUUGGAUCCAGGACUGCAACGACGGAGUCAACAGUGGAGACACUUUAUUGAUGUCAGUGAAUGUCCACUGUGCUCAGCUGCCAUCCUGAGGGCCCAGCUGUAGGAUCAGUGGACAGAGUCCCCAAAACUGUUGGAUUUGGGUCUCCUUCCAUAAGCACGGGGUGGUUCCAGAGUAACUGAGGCUGUGCAUGGGGCAGUUUGAUGUGCAGGGCCGUGUGGGUGCAGAGGUGUCCAUGAGGGCUCCAGUAAUGAUUUCCUGGGAGAAGCACCUCUUUUUCAGAGGUGAUGUGCCUAAUAGAUGGAAAACACCAGGGACAACCAGGUGGUAAAAAGAAAGUGCUUCCUUCUUAUCCUAAGCCAUCCCCCCUUCUCAGCACACAUCUGGUGUUUCUACACCAGAAGAACCUUCUCACACAUGUUCAUCCAUGAGCAAAAUCCUCCAGGGAGAAACUGCUCUGACUCAGCUCCUCUGCUCAGCUCUGUGUGCACUUGGCACGAGGCAGGAGGUGAAGAGCUCAGCCCAGGCAGAGCAAACCUGUCCUCCAAGGCCUGAGAUGCAGCAGAUCCUCCAAGGCCGGAGAGGCAGCAGGCGGGAAGACGCCGAUUUUUUGCCUGAUGAGCAGAUCUCCAGCUGUUCUGCCCCAUCCUCCUGGGACAGGGACAAAGGAGGGGGUGCAAAGCCACAAUGACUUCACCAGCAGCACAAGGAUAGGAUGGUGUCCAGCUGAUCCUUGCGAAACACCCUCUGGAGUGUGCUGGCUGUGGGAACUGUGCCCAGCUCCGUGUCCUGCCAUCGCGGCGUCCUCGCCUGAGUCACUUCUAACCCAAUACUGAGUUGUUACCACUGGCAUCAAAAAAGGGGUUUUUUUGCUUUUCAGUGACUUCACAAAUCCAAGACACUGCCAACUAUCCCCCCUUCACAGCAUUUAAAACAUCAACACUUCCCUCCCAAAUGAAAAGGGAGUCAAAGGUCCUGUGCUUCCCUGUGCCCCUUGCUCUCCCACAGCAGGCAUGUGGGGAUUGGCCUUUUAGGAAGCCUCCUCUGCUCCACUGAACUGUAUUUGCAGUUUAGGACUGUGGCCUUGUGAUCCUGCACCCAGUGUGUGCAGUGGGACGUGGGGACAGGUCUGGUGGGGAGCCUGGUUUAGCUGUUCCCUGGAUUUGUCACAACAGCUCAGGAGCUACUGGGGGACAGCUGAGUUUGGUCCAUGGCCACGGCACCAAGCCUGCCAGAGUUCAAGAAGCAUUUGGACAGUACUCUGGGGCCCACGGUGUGACCCUUGGGAUGGUCCUGUGCAAGGCCAGGAGCUGGACUCAGUGAUCCAACUCUGUGAUCCUGCAAUUCCCAGUCUGCCCAGUCCAGAGGUGUUCACGCUCGGAGUAGGUGCUCCAGCUCCUCCCUCAUGACUCCCACGUGUUUCCAACAUCCCUGUUAAAAAGAAACCUCCAUCUCUCCCCCUCAUUUCCUUUUCUCUGAGACUCUGCUUAGAGCUUGCACAAGCCUUGCCCAACAACAACCCUGGCGCCCGUCCCGGCGUGGCCGUCGUGACUCCUGGGCAGGGAGGGCAAAGGCUGUGCUCAUGCUAGUUUUGGGGCAGAUUUCCCUCACCUCUGGCACCUCUCCCUCCUCGCUGCUCCCAAAUUUCCAGGGUUCCUCUCUCUCUCCAGCUUUCCCUCCUUCUGGGCUCACCUCUGCCUCUCAGAGGCCUUGUCCCCGGGAAGCCGCAGCAAAACGUGGCACAGACAAAGCCAGAAAACCACCAGGGAGUUCAGGGAGUUUUCCUUCCUUGCUCUGCUUCCUUUGGGAUGGCAUUAAAAUGCAGCAGAGGAUGAGACCUGGGUCCUGCUCUGUUUGUGGAGGAUUUUUCCACUGGUGCAAAAAAGGGUUCUGAGAAUUCUUUUUUACAAAGGAAAACACAGAGACAACGGCCAUGGGGGCUGGAGGGCUCAGCCUGGGCUCCUUGCUCUAGGAACCAGCCCUUAGGUCAGUGGUGGAUAAUCAAAACUGGGGAGGAAACCAAGGGUCUGGUGCCCAGCUGGUGCAAAUUAGUCAAAUUGUUAAGAUUUUAAUGAGUUUGACAACCGAAAUCGCCUGUGCUGGUAAUUCCCUUGCAUGCUCCUGGGGAGAGGCAUUGUAAGAAGAAGAAGGGCAAGUUGUUCCUCUUGGAAAUCCUUUCACCUUCUUUAUGCAGAGAGGAAAAAUAUCAGGGAAGCUGAGCUCUGGAUGGUCUCUGUGGGUUGGAGGAACUUUGAGACAAGGAUCUGGCUUGGCUCUGUGGUGGUAUUAGGGAGUAGGAUUUUCUCCCUAUCCAAGUAGGGUAAAUCAGGAGGAAAAUGUACUGAAGUGGUGGGAAUGAGCCAUCAGCCCAGCAGAACAGCCUGUGCCGUGGGGAAACAGCAGCAGGAGAGGUCCUGGGGGGCUGGAAAGGGAGAUUUGACCCUGCUCCGAGGCUCUGGCCAGCCUGGGAAUGCACUAUCCUAUUAUUCUGGGAUUCUGUGACCCUGCAGGUUUGCACAAGCUCCAGGAGCAACCCAGUGGGGCAGCUGGAGCCUCCUGGCAUGGGGGAAUCCCUGCUGGCUGUGCCCUGCCCAGGACAAGGGACAUCAUUUGGGGUCAGCUCUGGGACACCUUCCACCAGACCAGGUUCAAACUUUGGACACCUCAGCCCAUCUUGGAGCUGCACAGAGCCACAAAGUGCCUCUCAGCCUGACCCCAAGAUGAGCCCCAGCCUCGUGCAACAUCAAAAAACCAAGACCCCGUGGAAUGUGUGACCUUUCAUGGCAGAUGAUUUCCAAUCAUACGACUCCGUUGGAUUUGAGUAAUUAAGGACAAGACAGGCCUGAAAGUGCUCUGCCUGCAGACACAGGAGGAGCCUACAGAGUUCCCUGUUCCCAAAAGCAGGGCUGUGAGAUCUGAGAGCACGGGCAGCACGGCCGGGUUGUUCCUGCCUCAGCUCCAGCGGGAACGUCCUCGCUCCGAGGCUGGAAGGUGGGUGAGGAAAGGGUCAAAACACAUCCCCCCAACUGCAGGAGGAGAAGAAUGUUGGCAGAGCAAACCUUGCCACAGGAAUAAAAGGUUGUCCUGCCUGUUCAUAUUACGCCACGCGGGGUGAGUAAAACUGUCGGUCAGGAGUGAAGCGUCUGAUACACAAAAGGGAAUAAAAACUCAUUAAAGGGCUGAAAGAAAACCCUGUUAAAAUA